CCUACGGGAGGCAGCAGUGAGGAAUAUUGGUCAAUGGCCGGAAGGCUGAACCAGCCAAGCCGCGUGAAGGACGAAGGUGCCAAGCAUUGUAAACUUCUUUUGUCAAGGGACAAAAUCAGGCUCGAGAGCCUGACCGCGGGUACUUGAAGAAAAAGCAUCGGCUAACUCCGUGCCAGCAGCCGCGGUAAUACGGAGGAUGCGAGCGUUAUCCGGAUUUAUUGGGUUUAAAGGGUGCGUAGGCGGGCUGUUAAGUCAGCGGUAAAAUGUUCGGGCUCAACCCGGGCCGGCCGUUGAAACUGGGAGUCUUGAGUGGGCGUGAAGUAGGCGGAAUGCGUGGUGUAGCGGUGAAAUGCAUAGAUAUCACGCAGAACUCCGAUUGCGAAGGCAGCAUACCGGCGCCCGACUGACGCUGGGGCACGAAAGCGUGGGGAUCGAACAGGAUUAGAUACCCGUGUAGUC
rnacentral:rRNA from 1 species